rnacentral:rRNA from 1 species
GUCGUCAGCUCGUGUCGUGAGAUGUUGGUUAAGUCCCGCAACGAGCGCAACCCUCGACCUUAGUUGCCAGCAUUCAGUUGGGCACUCUAAGGUGACUGCCGGCUAAAAGUCGGAGGAAGGUGGGGAUGACGUCAAAUCAUCAUGCCCCUUAUGACCUGGGCUACACACGUGCUACAAUGGGCGGUACAAAGGGUCGCGAACCCGCGAGGGGGAGCCAAUCCCAAAAAGCCGCUCUCAGUUCGGAUUGCAGGCUGCAACUCGCCUGCAUGAAGCCGGAAUCGCUAGUAAUCGCGGAUCAGCAUGCCCCGGUGAAUACGUUCCCGGGCCUU